rnacentral:rRNA from 1 species
UACGUAGGUGACAAGCGUUAUCCGGAUUUAUUGGGCGUAAAGCGCACGCAGGCGGUCUAUCAAGUCUGACGUGAAAUCUCUCGGCUUAACCGGGAGCGGUCGUUGGAAACUGAUGGACUUGAGGCGAUGAGAGGGGUGUGGAAUUCCGGGUGUAGCGGUGGAAUGCGUAGAGAUCCGGAGGAAGACCGGUGGCGAAGGCGGUCUGCUGGGCAGUUUCUGACACUGAUGCGCGACAGCGUGGGGAGCAAACAGG